CUCGGCAGCCAUAUCACCCUGCAGCUGGCUACCCAGUAAAGCUCAGCAGGGUUGAGCCUGGUCAGUACCUGGAUAGGAGACGACCUGGGAAGUUGUGGUUGCUGCUGGAA
rnacentral:rRNA from 1 species